UACAGAGGGUGCGAGCGUUGUCCGGAAUCACUGGGCGUAAAGGGCGCGUAGGUGGUGGCUUAAGCGUGCGGUGAAAGCUCGGGGCUCAACCCCGAGUCGGCCGUGCGAACUGGGCUCACUGGAGCAUAGUAGAGGCAGGUGGAAUUCCGGGUGUAGCGGUGGAAUGCGUAGAGAUCCGGAAGAACACCGGUGGCGAAGGCGGCCCUGCUGGGCUAUGGCUGACACUGAGGCGCGACAGCGUGGGGAGCAAACAGG
rnacentral:rRNA from 1 species